GGUCACUCCUGGCCAUGAUGGGGGGUUGGGAGGCUCCUGGGGAUGGGGAGGUCAUGGCUUUUGGUAUUGUAUUUUCUAAACUUUCCCCAGAUCAACCUCUGUUCAGGUUGUGUUUAGCUGUUCCAUGUUGCUUUGGGGAUCCCUGAAAACAAGAUGGUGAGAUGCUCUUUCUGUUUCUCUUUUCCGAUGACAAAUAUUGGAUGUCUACAAAUGUGUGUAUCUACAUGCUGUUGUCAAAAAGAAAUUCAAUCUGUACCAAGUUGAACUACAGUGUUGGGAGAAUGUACAUGCUGUGGUCUUUCUGCUUUGUCAUUGGUUGGGACUGUGACCCCUGCUUUGUCAUUGGUUGGGACUGUGACCCCUGCUUUGUCAUUGGUUGGGACUGUGACCCCUGCUUUGUCAUUGGUUUGGACUGUGACCCCUGCUUUGUCAUUGGUUGGGACUGUGACCCCUGUUUUCUCUGGUCUAUUGUAGACCCAGAAUAAAACGCAUCUAGUUUUUGGGAUGGUUUUUAAGGUUUAUAUUGGAAAGGGUGGGCCACUGCAGGAAGGGCCGUUACACAUUUAAAGUGACUAGAUGAGAGAACAGGGUCAAACCAGGGUCAAACCACAGGCACUUUGGCAGCUGCCUGGUUUUAUAUUUACUGUAUGUUUCAGCCCCACUGGCAGCUGUAGCCACAGCCCGUCCCCUAGGUCAUCUGUCCUAGUCCCCUAGCUCUUCUGUCCUAGUCCCCUGGGUCCAUCUAUCCUAGUCCCCUGGGUCCAUCUAUCCUAGUCCCCUGGGUCCAUCUAUCCUAGUCCCCUGGGUCAUCUGUCCUAGUCCCCUAGCUCUUCUGUCCUAGUCCCCUAGCUCUUCUGUCCUAGUGUCCUGGGUCCAUCUAUCCUAGUGUCCUGGGUCCAUCUAUCCUAGUGUCCUGGGUCCAUCUAUCCUAGUGUCCUGGGUCCAUCUAUCCUAGUGUCCUGGGUCCAUCUAUCCUAGUGUCCUGGGUCCAUCUAUCCUAGUGUCCUGGGGCCAUCUGUCCUAGUCCCCUGGUCCCAUCUGUCCUAGUCCCCUGGUCCCAUCUGUCCUUGUCCCAUCUGUCCUUGUCCCAUCUGUCCUUGUCCCCUGGUCCCAUCUGUCCUUGUCCCCUGGUCCUAUCUGUCCUUGUCCCAUCUGUCCUUGUCCCCUAGCCCAUCUGUCCUAGUUCCCUAGCCCAUCUGUCCUAGUUCCCUAGUCCUGGUGCACAAGCCAUAGGGCUCUGGUCAAAUGUAGUGCACUACAUAAAUAAUUGGGGUGCUAUUUGGCAAGCAGCCUAUGACAUGCUCUCAUUUUACCAUAACUCUAGUGUGAUUGGUUGUGGCUGUCCCUCCCAGUGGAGUCUGGUUUCUGAUCUUGAAGGAGGAGACGAGGAGCAUCUUGCAUUUUUUUUUUUUUUUAAGAUUAAUUUAAAUUGGAUAUAUGAUACACCAGGAAAUGGUCUCCUCCUUCAAGGGUUUUUAUUUUGGGGUGGGAGGGUUACUACAAGCUGCCCUGAUGCAUCGAUAACACCUCCCUUGAUGUGACACCACGUCCCCCUCCAGUAUCAACCCCUAACCGUACCCCCCUCGGCGCUAGCCUGGUUGGCAGUCUGUUCCUGCCCAUUCCAACUCCUUAUGGAUUUGUUAGGUUUUGGAGUGAUGAGUAGGGCCAGGGCAGAAACAGCUCUUUGACCAGGCUCUCCUCUAACCUUGUGCAGGUCUGACAUGACAUGGCAGGACAGGUGUAGGUGAAGCUCUGUAGCUGUUUGGGGUGGAGCUUCACCUAAAAUCUACAUCGUUCUGUCAAGAUGUACAACCAGGAGGAAGCCAGGGAUUGGUUCUGGACAGGGUUGUACACUAUUGUUGGAAAAUGUUGUCUUGUAAGAUCACUAGCAUGUCAGGGAGGGUUGGAGAGGAGAUCUUAUCAAGUCUUUAAAUGGCUCCCUACUCCCUAUAUAGUGCACUACUUUAGACCAGAGGUCUAUGUUAGUAGUGCGCUAUGUAGGGAGUAGGAUUCCAUUUGGAUGCAGUGGCGGAUGCCUCUGACUAGAUGUGUCAGUUUUAUUUCUGGGUGGGAUGGAUGUGUCCCGGGGGGGGGGAUACUGUUAAGAUAUUUAAACAAUUAGAAUAUCCACAAGCAAGGUUCUGGGUAGACAACUUGUUUCAUAUAACUGUUCCCUUUAAAUUUGGACCAUUUUUUUUAUUUUGUAACUCGAUGUCAGUUGGAUUAGAAGUUAAAAAUUCAAAACCAAAUUUAAGUGAAAGAAAGCAUUUACAUUUUUGGGAAUUGGCUGUUUCUCAGUGGAGCUGUGUUUAAAUAAUAAUAAAUAAAUAAAUGUCUUCUGUGUCGUGGUCCCGAUGGUUCAUAUCAGAAAUGACACUUUUGGUUGAAAAAUAAAGCUCACUGAAAUCC